UUCAUUCCCCUCAUUCGAUUUCCCUCCCCGCCUUCGAUUUCUUUCCCCUUUUCUAGAACCCCUUCGUUUCCUCCUCCAGAUUUCUUCUUCUCCCUGAAAUCCCCUUCAUGGCCCAUCACAGACCUAAUUCUUGCAACUCAUUCCAUCUUUUACCAUCGAAGUUGGCCCACGAAACCGACGUACAUGGUCCUCAAGCACGGCGUCUGUACAAUCAUUCGUCUUCAUCAAGCACGAUUCCUCUUCAGGAAUCCUCAAGCACUACUUAUCUCUCUCAAGCACUGUUCCCCCCAUUCCCACGAAAGCCUCACCUUCCCACUCAAAACUGCAGUCCAUUCGAAGUCAAAACCCUAACCAUUAUCCAAUCCGCAGUGUAAUCCCCUGAGGUAAUUUGUCCAAAAUCUAACCCUAACCCUAAAAUCAAAAAGAUACAAUGAGCUGUUAAGGAGCCAAAAAGAGCUUGAGAAGAAACUUGAAGACAUCAAGAAGAGGGAGAUUGAGCUUCGUAAGAGAGCGGAUGAGAUCGAGAAGAGAGAAUUGGGGCUUCUGGAGCAAGAAGUUGAAAUAUUGCAUUCAUGCAGAUUACUCUGGCUAUAUUGAACUUUUGUAGUUGUUGUGUCAUGUUAUGUAAUAGUGUGUAAGUGAUUUUGGAAUUUGGUAUAUGUUGUAAAAUUUGUAAGCUUAUGUUAGACUAAUUAGUUGGUGCUUACCAGAGUUCACCAACGAAUUUUGUGAAAUUUGUACUUAGCUUAAGUUUCUGAAGUGAUUUGGGAUUGAGUUUUGUAUAAAUGAAUGAUUAGUUUAA